UUAUUUGUGUUUUUGUUGCCUGGAAACUUCUUAACUAAGGUUUAACUGUGUGAGAAGAGCAGAACCCCAGUGCCCUAAUAGCAACUGUUAAUGGUGUUUCUGUUGUACUUUGUUUUCCUAAAACCAAACUAGAGACUCCGUCUUACCAUGGUCCCUAGCAGGCCGUCUCUUUGUGGAACCCUGGCAGGGUCCUGGCUGGUACAGGAGUGAGGAUGUCCCUGGAUGUGUCUGCUUCUCUCUGUCUGAUUUUAGCUGUCUGAAAAGAAGACUUAGUUGCAGCUGUCUCUCAGCCUGGGAUAAAGUCUCCAAAGCACACCGCGAAUGUUCCCGUGCUGCCUCCUUCCUGGAUAUUAUUUUGCAGGAGCUCGGGCCUCUUUGGUCCUCAGCCACACCCUGGAAAAGGCCUCCUCCCCAGCCACUGGGCGAAUGCCCACUUGCUCUCCUCGCUGAGGCCUCCUGUCCCUGGCCCCCAUGGUUUGGGGUGUGAAGAAGAUCGUGUAAGAGAGAACUCAGUUAAAGCACACCCUGUCACAUUGUAGGGAAAAGAGGACGUUAUGUGCACUGCUCCCCAGACUGGCGGUGGUGUUUCCUUUGGGGAGAGGAAAGAAGAGAAGCCCUUGGGCAGGGGAUCAGAGGAGAUUUUAGGCUUAUAGAUGCCAGCUACACUGUUCCUCCAGAAAGGCACCUGAGGCAAGAGAGUUUCUUCCCUUGUGGGUCCACUUAACUCUGAUCGGAGCCCAGGCAUCCUGCCUUCCCGUCCAAGAUAGUCCCGUUCCUGGCACUUCCUCGCCUCCCCAGGAUACUACAGCCCUGUGUGGACAAGAUGUUACAAAGCUGGAGCUAUCACCCCCACAGUCUGUGGGACGUUCAGAGGACCCGGCCCCCGGGGACGGGAGGCUUGCCAACGCAGGAGGGAGCUCUCCAGGGCCAUGAGCAGAACACUCGUUUUAGGACAUGAUCUGCUCUGACUCUGGCCGCUGGCGUGGUGAAGAGAGCUUUUACUCCAGAACUCCUCUGAGAAGAAUGAUGGGACUUUCUGGGAGGAUGGAUUGAAGAUGUGGCCCCGGUGAGGAGCUAGAAAUCACAUGCAGGUAAUUGAAACUGUAGGGUGCUUGGGUAGGCAUACAAGCCCAAGCAGUGAAGGAACAAAAGAAAUGAGACAUGAAUGAAACAUCAGGCACUGGGCUUAAAAGAAAUGUGAUAGACCCAUGUGUCCUUGCCACCAAAGCUGUGCCACAGCAUUCUGACACUAUCCUGGUGCUCUCUACACCACGUCAGGACAGCUGGAUGAUUCCCUGA